rnacentral:tmRNA from 1 species
GGGGGCGAAACGGAUUCGACGGGAAUAUGUAAGCUCACCGUUGCAUGCCGAGCUUCUUUCUGCUCGUAAAACUGAUUGAAAAACACUUAUAAUCGCCGACGAUUAUAACUACGCAGUAGCAGCUUAAUAACCUGCUUUGCCGUUCCCCCAGCCUGCGCCCACAAGGCUGGACCGGAGCGCCGACUCUGAGGGCUGGUUUGACAAUGGUGCCUGUCCGUUGCCAAAUGAGAUCCAGCAGGAUAGCGACAAGAAACCCUGGUUCCGGCGGGGCUCCUGGCGCGAAAAUUAAAGCCCGGAACUAAGCAUGUAGAUACGGGAGGGGAGUAUUUUCGGACGCGGGUUCGACUCCCGCCGCCUCCACCA